GGCGGCGUAGCUCAGUCGGUUAGAGCAGAGGAAUCAUAAUCCUCGUGUCCGGGGUUCAAGUCCCUGCGCCGCUA
rnacentral:tRNA from 1 species